GAUGAACGCUGGCGGCGUGCCUAAUACAUGCAAGUCGAGCGAACGGACGAGAAGCUUGCUUCUCUGAUGUUAGCGGCGGACGGGUGAGUAACACGUGGAUAACCUACCUAUAAGACCGGGAUAACUUCGGGAAACCGGAGCUAAUACCGGAUGAUAUUUUGAACCGCAUGGUUCAAAAGUGAAAGACGGUCUUGCUGUCACUUAUAGAUGGAUCCGCGCUGCAUUAGCUAGUUGGUAAGGUAACGGCUUACCAAGGCAACGAUGCAUAGCCGACCUGAGAGGGUGAUCGGCCACACUGGAACUGAGACACGGUCCAGACUCCUACGGGAGGCAGCAGUAGGGAAUCUUCCGCAAUGGGCGAAAGCCUGACGGAGCAACGCCGCGUGAGUGAUGAAGGUCUUCGGAUCGUAAAACUCUGUUAUUAGGGAAGAACAUAUGUGUAAGUAACUGUGCACAUCUUGACGGUACCUAAUCAGAAAGCCACGGCUAACUACGUG
rnacentral:rRNA from 1 species